rnacentral:rRNA from 1 species
GUGGGGAAUAUUGCGCAAUGGGGGAAACCCUGACGCAGCGACGCCGUGUGGGGGAAGAAGGCUUUCGGGUCGUAAACCUCUGUCAGGAAGGAAGAACCUCUCAAGGCUGAACAAGCCUUGGGACUGACGGUACUUCCAGAGGAAGCACCGGCUAACUCCGUGCCAGCAGCCGCGGUAAUACGGAGGGUGCAAGCGUUAAUCGGAAUCACUGGGCGUAAAGCGCGCGUAGGCCGUCUUUUAAGUCGGACGUGAAAGCCCUCGGCUCAACCGGGGAACUGCGUUCGAUACUGGGAGACUUGAGUCCUGGAGAGGGUGGCGGAAUUCCGGGUGUAGGAGUGAAAUCCGUAGAUAUCCGGAGGAACACCGGUGGCGAAGGCGGCCACCUGGACAGGUACUGACGCUGAGGCGCGAAAGCGUGGGGAGCAAACAGGAUUAGAAACCCGGGUAGUCC